rnacentral:tRNA from 4 species
UUUGAUUGGAUCGGAAUAGGAUUUUUUUCUUAAAUCCAAGCGAUCUUUUCGUAGGCGUUUGCCCCCGAUCCAAUCGGGGGAUCGAAU